rnacentral:rRNA from 1 species
AUUGAACGCUGGCGGCAGGCUUAACACAUGCAAGUCGAGCGGGGUGAUGGUGCUUGCACUAUCACUUAGCGGCGGACGGGUGAGUAAUGCUUAGGAAUCUGCCUAUUAGUGGGGGACAACAUCUCGAAAGGGAUGCUAAUACCGCAUACGUCCUACGGGAGAAAGCAGGGGAUCACUUGUGACCUUGCGCUAAUAGAUGAGCCUAAGUCGGAUUAGCUAGUUGGUGGGGUAAAGGCCUACCAAGGCGACGAUCUGUAGCGGGUCUGAGAGGAUGAUCCGCCACACUGGGACUGAGACACGGCCCAGACUCCUACGGGAGGCAGCAGUGGGGAAUAUUGGACAAUGGGGGGAACCCUGCUCCAGCCAUGCCGCGUGUGUGAAGAAGGCCUUAUGGUUGUAAAGCACUUUGAGCGAGGAGGAGGCUCUUUUGGUUAAUACCCAAGAUGAGUGGACGUUACUCGCAGAAUAAGCACCGGCUAACUCUGUGCCAGCCGCCGCGGUAA